rnacentral:rRNA from 1 species
CUUCUUAGAGGGACAAGCGGGAGAAGCCGCACGAAAUAGAGCAAUAACAGGUCUGUGAUGCCCUUAGAUGUCCGGGGCCGCACGCGCGCUACAAUGACGGUGUCAACGAGUUAGACCUUCUGGCCCGAAAGGGUUGGGCAAACUGGUCAAUCACCGUCGUGACAGGGAUCGGGGCUUGGAAUUGUUCCCCGUGAACGAGGAAUUCCUAGUAAGUGCAAGUCAUAAGCUUGCGCUGAUUACGUCCCUGCCCUUUGUACACACCGCCCGUCGCUACUACCGAUUGAAUGGUUUAGUAAGGUCCUUGGAUUGGCGUCAUUGUGGCAGUGGCCGAGAGGUCACGGCCCGACAGGCGCCGAGAAGACGACCGAACUUGAUCAUUUAGAGGAAGUAAAAGU